rnacentral:ribozyme from 1 species
CUCUCUUCUUCCUUCCUUCUCUUCUUCCCCCUUCUCUCUUUUCUUCUCUUUUCUUUCAUUUUGGAAACUGAAAAGAAAAAAACAAACAAACAAAUGCCCUCUGGAAAUUAUUAAU